rnacentral:rRNA from 1 species
UCNAUGGNGAAGCUGNGGACACCCGCGUGAGUGAAGAAGGUUUUCGGAUCGUAAAACUCUGUUGUUAGGGAAGAACAAGUGCCGUUCGAAUAGGGCGGCACCUUGACGGUACCUAACCAGAAAGCCACGGCUAACUACGUGCCAGCAGCCGCGGUAAUACGUAGGUGGCAAGCGUUGUCCGGAAUUAUUGGGCGUAAAGCGCGCGCAGGUGGUUUCUUAAGUCUGAUGUGAAAGCCCACGGCUCAACCGUGGAGGGUCAUUGGAAACUGGGGAACUUGAGUGCAGAAGAGGAAAGUGGAAUUCCAAGUGUAGCGGUGAAAUGCGUAGAUAUUUGGAGGAACACCAGUGGCGAAGGCGACUUUCUGGUCUGUAACUGACACUGAGGCGCGAAAGCGUGGGGAGCAAACAGGAUUAGAUACCCUGGUAGUCCACGCCGUAAACGAUGAGUGCUAAGUGUUAGAGGGUUUCCGCCCUUUAGUGCUGCAGCUAACGCAUUAAGCACUCCGCCUGGGGAGUACGGUCGCAAGACUGAAACUCAAAGGAAUUGACGGGGGCCCGCACAAGCGGUGGAGCAUGUGGUUUAAUUCGAA